rnacentral:rRNA from 1 species
CGUGAAAUUGUUGAAAGGGAAACGCUUGAAGUCAGUCGCGUUGGCCAGGGAUCAACCUUGCUUUUUUUUGCUUGGCUUAUUUCCUGGUCAAUGGGUCAGCAUCAAUUUUGACUGAUGGAAAAAGUUCAAGGGAAUGUGGCAUCCUUUGGAUGUGUUAUAACCUUUGUUCGCAUACAUUAGUUGGGAUUGAGGAACUCAGCACGCCGAAAGGCCGGGUUAUUAACCACGUACGUGCUUAGGAUGCUGGCAU